UACGUAGGGUGCAAGCGUUGUCCGGAAUUAUUGGGCGUAAAGAGCUCGUAGGCGGUCUGUCGCGUCUGCUGUGAAAACUCGGGGCUUAACCCCGGGCCUGCAGUGGGUACGGGCAGACUAGAGUGCGGUAGGGGGAGACUGGAAUUCCUGGUGUAGCGGUGAAAUGCGCAGAUAUCAGGAGGAACACCGGUGGCGAAGGCGGGUCUCUGGGCCGUAACUGACGCUGGAGGAGCGAAAGCGUGGGGAGCGAACAGG
rnacentral:rRNA from 1 species